rnacentral:lncRNA from 1 species
CUCAGCUCUCAGUGGUCUUCACAGGGGAAGCGCCAUCAUGCAAAUUUUGACUUCACGGCGUAUCUGGCCACUACUUCUGGAGCAUGGGGAGGACUUAAGCCAGUGGCUAAGUCCUUGUGAAAUCCUGGACUUUAUAAGCCCUUAUGCUGUCUUUCUCUCUCCUGAUUAGCUGCUGUAUGACCCUGCAAGAAGAAGAGAUUUUUCUGCCCGUAUCAGUUGGUUAAAUGUUGCCAUCUGAGUUUAGCCUGAGUUUAGCAAGCUACAUGGUACUAGUGCUUCAAAAAAACCUUGCCUCGCUUCUAGCAGCGGCGUGCUGCUUCGGCUGUGGAGGAGCCGUGUUGGCUCGCUGCUCAAAUGUGCCGUUCCUCUGAACCUGGGGAAGCGAUCGAAGGGUUGCGAGUUCCUCUGGGACCACAAUGUGAAGCUUCUUGGGAAACUUGCUUUGCUUAUCCCUCCUUGCUGAUGGCUUGUAAAUGGAAAAAAUACAGAGUAAAUGGCCUGAAAGCAGGAGCAAAGGAGAAGCUGAGGAGUGUUCUUUCAAACAGCUGGUUAAUUCUCCUCGGUGGAUGACUUCUGCUGGACGUAGUUCAGAUCACUUUGCAGGUCUGGUCGCUAUCCCCUGCAUUCAGGGGAUACCUAAAGAUGUGAUGCACCAGCCACUAGCUGCAGGAGUAGCGGAAUGUGCUUCGCUGGGUUUCCUCUUCUACUCUUCAGCUGUUGCGUUCAAAACGAAGCCUCUCGUUGGGUUUGUUUGUACAGCACUCGGCAUUGUGGCACCCAGAUCUCAGCCAGGGUCUCUGCUCGCUGCCCGAAGGCUGACGGUGAAGCGCUCACAGACUUUAAUUGCGGUGCCUGACAGACUCCUUAAAGAAAGGAAAAGUGAUGAGAGAGAGAGGAAGAGAAGGUCACUCAUGUAG